rnacentral:rRNA from 1 species
GAUGAACGCUGGCGGCGUGCCUAAUACAUGCAAGUCGAGCGAACAGACGAGGAGCUUGCUCCUCUGACGUUAGCGGCGGACGGGUGAGUAACACGUGGAUAACCUACCUAUAAGACUGGGAUAACUUCGGGAAACCGGAGCUAAUACCGGAUAACAUGUUGAACCGCAUGGUUCAACAGUGAAAGACGGUCUUGCUGUCACUUAUAGAUGGAUCCGCGCCGCAUUAGCUAGUUGGUAAGGUAACGGCUUACCAAGGCAACGAUGCGUAGCCGACCUGAGAGGGUGAUCGGCCACACUGGAACUGAGACACGGUCCAGACUCCUACGGGAGGCAGCAGUAGGGAAUCUUCCGCAAUGGGCGAAAGCCUGACGGAGCAACGCCGCGUGAGUGAAGAAGGUCUUCGGAUCGUAAAACUCUGUUAUUAUGGAAGAACAAAUGUGUAAGUAACUAUGCACGUCUUGACGGUACCUAAUCAGAAAGCCACGGCUAACUACGUG